CUGCUAGUUUCCUACCCAAAGUCUACUAAACCAUAUUCUUAACUAAUAAAACCUGUAAAUUUCUAGGUGCAGAAAAAAAAUGUCUGGCUUUCCUUCCUGAUGGGGUGGCCAGUGAAAUGUCAGCAAAUGCAUUGGAUGAGAUUGCUGGAAAACAUCUUUGCUCCUGUCCCUUCUUUCUUAAAUAGAACAUGGGCAGGAUAGCUGGAGGCUCAGCAGCCUUGUCUGUGGACCUGAGGUGACCUUAAGGAAAAGCACUAAUAAGGAUGGAGAAAUUAAAAACAAAAACAGCCUGUGACAUAGAAGGCAUCACAGCACCACCACACUGGCCCUCGGCUACUUACAUUUAGGUUGGUGCAAAGGUAAUCACGCUUUUUGUCAUUAAUUUCAACAGCAAAAACCAAUAUUACCUCCAGUCAGCGAGGGUGGUCCCAGUGUGUCCGAAAUUGGUGGGUUCUUGGUCUCACAGCCUUCAAGAAUGAAGCCGCAGACCCUCACAGUGAGUGUUACAGUUCUUAAAGGUGGCAUGUCCUGAGUUUGUUCCUUCUGACGUUCCAGCCUGUUCAGAGUUUCUUCCUUCUGGUGGGUUCGUGGUCUCGCUGGCUCAAAAGUGAAGCUGCAGAUCUUCGGGUGUUAACAGCUCUUAAGUUGGGGCGUCUGGAGUUGUUUGUUCUUCCCAGUGGGUUCUUUGUCUCGCUGGCUUCAGGACUGAACCUGUAAAUCUUCACCAUGAGUGUUACAGCUCAUAAAUGCAGUGUAAACCCAAAGAGUGGGCAGUAGCAAGAUUUAUUGCAAAGAGCUAAAGAACAAAACUUACACUGUGGCAGGCCACUCUAGCAACUUGCUAGUGCUAGCGCGGAGCAGCCUGCUUUUAUUCUCUUAUCUGGCCCCACCCACAUCCUGCUGAUUGGUCCAUUUUACAGAGAGCCGAUUGGUCUGUUUUACAGAGAGCUGAUUGGUCCAUUUUGACAGAGUGCUGAUUGGUGCGUUUACAAUCCCUGAGUUCGACACAAAAGUUCUCCACGGCCCCACUAAAUUAGCUAGAAACAGAGUGUCGAUUGGUGCAUUCACAAACCCUGAGCUAGACACAGGGUGCUGAUUGGUGUGUUUACAAACCUUGAGCUAGAUACAGAGUGCUGAUUGGUGCAUUCACAAUCCCCCAGCUAGACAUAAAGAUUCUCCAAGUCCCCACCAGACUCAGGAGUCCAGCUGGCUUCAUCCAGUGGAUCUCACACCGGGGCCGCAGGUGGAGCUGCCUGCCACUCCGUCGCCGUGCGCUGGCACUCCUCAGACCUUGGGCAGUGGAUGGGAUCGGGCGCCGUGGAACAUGGGGCAGCGCUCGUCGGGGAGACUCAGGCCCGGCAGGAGCAUCUGGCAGUGCGGAGGGAGACUCAGGCAUGGCAGGCUGCAGGUCCCCAGCCCUGCCCGAGGGGAGGCAGCUAAGGCACGGCAAGAAAUCCAGCACAGAGCCGGUGGGCCGGCACUGCUGGGGGACCCGGCACACCCUCCGCAGCUGCUGGCCCGGGUAGUAAGCUCCUCACUGCCCGGGACUUGCGAGCCGGCCUGCGGCUCCCAGUGUGAGGCCCGCUGAGCCCACGCCCACCCGGAACUCGUGCUGGCCCGCAGGCACCCGCGAAGCCCUGGUUCCCGCCCAUGCCUCUCCCUCCACACCUCCCUGCAAGCUGAGGGAGCUGGCUCCGGUCUCGGCCAGCCCAGCAAGGGGCUCCCACAGUGCGGCGGCGGGCUGGAGGGCUCCUCAAGUGCCGUCAAAGUGGGAGCCCAGGCAGAGGAGGCGCCGAGAGCGAGCGUGGGCUGCGAGGGCUACCAGCACACUGUCAACUCUCACCACGGCCAUCCCUCUUUCCAAUCAAGCCGACCUGGAAAACAGAAACUCAAAGCAAAGAGCUCAUCCUACUUCCUCUUUACCCUCCUGUCUGUCACCUUGCUGAAGAAUCUCACUCAUGUGCACAUCAGUUUCAAGUUCUGUCUCUAUUCUCUGCAUGGCCACGGAGAAGCCACCAGCUGAUACCAGAGCGGCAAAGGGUUGUGUGGGAGAUGAGGAAUUCCGCCUGGAAGAGGCUGAGUGCUGGAGUCCGGUGGUGCGAUCUCGGCUCACUGCAACCUCCGCCUCCCGGGUUCACACCAUUCUCCUGCCUCAGCCUCCGGAGUAGCUGGGGUUACAGGCCCCCAGUCCACUUUCUUGGAGUCUGCUGUGUCUGACCAAAAAGCCCAUCUUCGCCACAUCUAAAGCUGGAAGUUCAUUUGCCAGCGUUGUUUAGAGCAAAAAGAGACACAUCGUCAUGCAAAUCUGGACUCACAUUUUUGAACCUCAGCUUCUUCACCCAGAUAAUUAUGACAACAGUCCUCACCUCCAAGGAUUGAUCUGUGCCUCAGCCCUGAACCUAAUGAUGGGCAAGAAAAGAUAUUCCUGCUUCUACCCUACACAACUCUAAGGGGACAGCACACUGAAACCCUCCCAAACUGUCAAGAAGAUCUGAAAAAGUCAAUCACUUUUGCUUUGCACAUAUUUGAUAUUAGCACAGCAUGAAUCCCAGUUUGAGCCCGCAUUAAGUUAAGCCUAGGAUUCGACAUGGGCCCAUGCCUAAGACCUAGGGAAAGGAACUGCAACGGAACAAUGUCCGAAACCCAAGGCUGCUUAUUACAAUCUCGUUCAGAACAAAAGUGCAACCAGGCCGAGCGCGGUGGCUCACGCCUGUAAUCCCACCACUUUGGGAGGCUGAGGCUGGUGGAUCACGACGUCAGGAGUUCAAGACCAGCCUGGCCAACAUGGUGAAACCCUGUCUCUACUAAAAAUACAAAAAGUAGCCGAGUGUGGUGGCGGGUGCCUGUAAUCCCAGCUACUCAGGAGGCUGAGGCAGGAGAAUCGCUUGAACCCAGGACGCGGAGGUUGCAGUGAGCCAAGAUCGCGCCACUGCACUCCAGCCUGAGUGACAGAGCAAGACUCUGUCUCAAAAAAAAAAAUAAAAUAAAAAAAUAAAAGCGCGACCAGACAGCACUGCUUUCUCAUUUCUGCAAGAGUGUAGUUCAAGUCAAAGUCAGAACUGUGAUGCCCUAGACUGCCGAAAAUUGUUGGACCAACAACUGCCGGGAAGCCCAGGGGAGGCCUGGUAGGCAGGCAGAGGCCCAUGAGGAAGAGCUCUCAGCCAGUGCCACUCAGCAGAGCCCUCUGCAUGGAAUUAAUCACAACAAAGAGAAAGAAGGACCCAGAAGAAAAAUCCAAACACCUCAUGGAGUCUCCCCGAAGAGCAGCCCCCAAAGGAAAAUCCAAACACCUCAUGGAGUCUCCCCAAAGAGCAUCCCCCAAAGGAAUCGAAAAGAAUUGGAGCUGGUUGGGAUUUCCAUAGUGUGUGCCAGGGAGACGGUAAAUCAUUACUUUGAUUCUGCUAUACUAGCUUUGUUUUUACCUCCAGGCAGCUGUGAAAGAGGUAAAUAUGGAAUACAUUAACAUAUUAUUUCAGAAAAUUGUAGCCAUUAGGCUCAGCUUGCUUUUUUUUUUUUCUUUGAGACAAAGUCUCACUCUGUCACCCAGGCUACAGUGCGGAGGUGCCAUCAUAAUUCACUGCAGCUUCAAACUCCCAGCCUCAAGGAACCCUCGAGUCUUAGCUUCCAGAGUAGCUGGGACUACAGGCACAUGCCACUACUGCUGGCUAAUUUUUAAAUUUUUUGUACAGACAGGGUCCUGCUAUGUUGCCUAGGCUGGUCUUGAACUCCUGGCCUCAAGCAAUCCUCCUGCCUUGGCUUCUCAGUGUUGGGAUUACAGGCAUGAGCCACAGUGACCAGCCAGGCUCAGCUCUUUAAAACCAUUUCCUCAUCCUUCAUAAUAAGCCAUAGUUUGGACAUAGGGACUUCUCUGGUUAUGUCAAAGAAUAUUUCACAGUCCAACCAAAAAACCAAGUUAAAGGAUUAGAACACAGUUCUCUAUUCUUUCAAAUUACCAUUUUUGUGUACAUUAUCAAACCAGCCAGUUGUCAAGAACGUGGACACUAAAAUAAAAUGCAUCUGUUCAAACACCAGCGAAAGCUCUUAUAGCUGUACAACCCUGAACAAAUUCUUUAAUUUCUGGUGUCUCACUGUCCUCAUUUGUAAAGUGAAGCUAAUAAUUUUAGCUACCUUAUGGUUGUGUUGUAAGGAUGAAAAGGGUUAAUGCAUUUAAAGCACUUAGACCAAUGCCAGGCACCUACUUAAGCUUAGCUCGGUAAAAGUUAGCUAAUAAUGAAAUACACAUUCAUUCUGUGGUAAGAGACCAGCAGGAUUUGCUUUCUGGUCAUAACCCUGCUGACCAAAACAGGAUCUGGUCCAGAGAGGAGAAACUGAAGAAAUCAGCAGAAACCAACAGAUGGCAGAGAGGCUGAUCCCUGGCUGCCCUCAUUGCUUAGUUGCAUAAGAUACUUCCACCAGCACCAUCACAGUUUACAAAUGCCAUGGCAACAAACCAGAAGUUACCAUCCCUUCCAUGGCCACCACCAAGAAGUUACCAUCCCUUUCCUGGAACAUCCUAAAUAACCCACUCCUCAAUUUGCAUUAACCUGCCCCUGAGUUUGCAUAGAAUUGAAGUGUGUAAAAGUGAGUGUAAAUAUAGCUGCCAAUAGCCCAUAUGUUGCUGACUCUGGGCCCACUGCCUAUGAGUUAGCCCUGCUCCACUAGGAGCAGUACCAGUCAAUAAAAGAUUGCUAACACUACUGGCAUGUCCUUGAAUUCUUUCCUGAGCAAAGCCAAGAACCCUCCUGAGCUAAGCCCCUAUUUUGGGGCAUCAAUUCCACGAGUACUUGUGGAGUGCAUGUACAUGAUGAACACUUUUGCACACUGGAGAUAUGGGAGAGAACAAACUAUACAAGAUGAUCUUCCUCAGGGAGCUUAUAUUCUAAAUAUUCUCUAAGUGGAUCAAUAGCUCAAUACUCCAGUGUACCAUAGUUAAAUACUUCCAUACAAUCAGGUAUUCAGAGUUCAUAGCUUCCCGUUGUUACAAAUAGCAUUAGUAACAAUCAAAAUGUCUGCCUAGAUUUUGAAUUUUUUUAGAAUGGACAUCCAGAAAUUGAACUAUUGGGUCAAAAGUUUCCGACAUUAUUUCAAGGAAUAUAUACCUGGUCUUUAAAAUAAUUCAGUUAGCAUCUAUCUGUAAAAUAUAAA
rnacentral:lncRNA from 1 species